GAGUUUGAUCUUGGCUCAGAACGAACGCUGGCGGCAGGCCUAACACAUGCAAGUCGAACGCUGUAGCAAUACAGAGUGGCAGACGGGUGAGUAACGCGUGGGAACCUUCCCAAUGGUGCGGAAUAGCCCAGGGAAACUUGGGGUAAUACCGCAUAAGCCCUUAGGGGGAAAGAUUUAUCGCCAUUGGAUGGGCCCGCGUCGGAUUAGCUAGUUGGUGAGGUAAUGGCUCACCAAGGCAACGAUCUGUAGCUGGUUUGAGAGAAUGACCAGCCACACUGGGACUGAGACACGGCCCAGACUCCUACGGGAGGCAGCAGUGGGGAAUCUUGGACAAUGGGCGCAAGCCUGAUCCAGCCAUGCCGCGUGAGUGACGAAGGCCUUAGGGUUGUAAAGCUCUUUUGCCGGGACGAUAAUGACGGUACCCGGAGAAUAAGUCCCGGCUAACUUCGUGCCAGCAGCAGCCGCGGUAAU
rnacentral:rRNA from 1 species